rnacentral:rRNA from 1 species
AUUGAACGCUUGCGGCAGACCUAACACAUGCAAUUCGAACGAGUGGCGGACGGAUGAGUAAUGUCUGGGAAACUGCCUGAUUGAGGGGGAUAACUACUGGAAACGGUAGCUAAUACCGCAUACCAUCAGAUGUGCCCAGAUGGGAUUAGCUAGUAGGUGGGGUAACGGCUCACCUAGGCGACGAUCCCUAGCUGGUCUGAGAGGAUGACCAGCCACACUGCAACUGAGACGCGGUCCAGACUCCUACGGGAGGCAGCAGUGGGGAAUAUUUCACAAUGGGCGCAAGCCUGAUGCAGCCAUGCCGCGUGUAUGAAGAAGGCCUUCGGGUUGUAAAGGACUUUCAGCGGGGAGGCGUUACCCGCAGAAGAAGCACCGGCUAACUCCGUGCCAGCAGCCGCGGUAAUAC